CAUGCGAGUCGAGAGGGUUCGGCCCUCGGCAGACUGCUCAGUAACACGUGGAGAACUUGCCCUACGCUGGAGGAUACCCUCGGGAAACUGAGAAUAAUACUCCAUAGUCCCGCCGUCCUGGAACGGUGGUGGGAUGAAAGCUCCGGCGGCGUAGGAUAGCUCUGCGGCCUAUCAGGUCGUAGCGAGGGUAACGUCCUCGCUAGCCUUCGACGGGUAUGGGUGUUGGGAGACAUCGCCCAGAGAUGGAUUCUGAGACACGAAUCCAGGUCCUACGGGACGCAGCAGGCGCGAAAACUGCACAAUGUGGGAAACCACGAUGCGGGAAACCCAAGUGCCAGCACUAUGUGUUGGCUGUCCUCGACUGUUUGUAGGUCGGGAAGAAAGUGCUGGGUAAGACGGGUGCCAGCCGCCGCGGUAAUACCCGCAGCACAAGUGGUGGUCAUUAUUAUUGGGCCUAAAGCGUCCGUAGCUGGCGUGUUAGAUGCCUGGGUAAAUCGAUGCGCUCAACGCAUCGAAUUCCGGGUAGACCGGCAUGCUCGAGACCGGGAGAGGUGUAGGCUACUCGCGGGGUAGGGGUAAAAUCCUGUAAUCCUGCGGGGAGGACCAGUGGCGAAGGCGCUACACUAGAACGGCUCUGACAGUGAGGGACGAAGCCCUGGGGCGCAAACCGGAUUAGAUACCCGGGUAGUCCAGGGUGCAAACGCUGUGGUCUUGGUGUCGGCAGUCCUACGUGGGCAGCCGGUGCCGGAGAGAAGUUGUUAAGACCACUGCCUGGGGAGUACGGCCGCAAGGUUGAAACUUAAAGGAAUUGGCGGGGGAGCACCGCAACGGGAGGAGCGUGCGGUUUAAUUGGAUUCAACGCCGGGAAG
rnacentral:rRNA from 1 species